UACGGGGGGGGCAAGCGUUGUUCGGAAUUACUGGGCGUAAAGGGCUCGUAGGCGGCCAACUAAGUCAGACGUGAAAUCCCUCGGCUUAACCGGGGAACUGCGUCUGAUACUGGAUGGCUUGAGUGUAGGAGAGGGAUGCGGAAUUCCAGGUGUAGCGGUGAAAUGCGUAGAUAUAGGAAGGAACACCAGUGGCGAAGGCGACCACCUGGACUAAUACUGACACUGAGGUGCGAAAGCGUGGGGAGCAAACAGG
rnacentral:rRNA from 1 species